GGUGUUAUAGCUCAGCUGGUUAGAGCGAGCGACUCAUAAUCGCUAGGUCGCAAGUUCAAGUCUUGCUAACACCACCA
rnacentral:tRNA from 1 species